GUAAAUAUAGUUUAAAAAAACAUUAGAUUGUGAUUCUAAAGACAGAAGCCAAUAACUUCUUAUUUACC
rnacentral:tRNA from 1 species